AGGAGAGAAACAAAGAAUGGCGAUGGCAAGACUGUUUUAUCAUAAACCCCAGUUUGCCAUUUUGGAUGAAUGCACAAGUGCGGUCAGUAGUGAACGUGAUCAUACGUAGUUGUGAAAUCGGUUUGAUUGAGUGGGCUCUGAAAGGGGCAUUUAAUGGUCUUGUUUCUUCAUAACUCACAAUCACUGGCUACCAAGAUAACCCUGAUGUAUUGAUUCCAUAAAUGCAUCACAUUCAGUUUUACCAUGUCUCCUUAGCAAACUUGUGUACUUAUUUUCUGUUCAGAUUAAAAAAAAAAAAUGAUAACCUA
rnacentral:lncRNA from 1 species